rfam:Salmo salar isolate Sally breed double haploid chromosome ssa14, whole genome shotgun sequence.
GCAUAUCACUACUGUAAGUCGCUCUGGAUAAGAGCGUCUGCUAAAUGAUGUAAA